rnacentral:rRNA from 1 species
CCAGAGAACUUUCCAGAGAUGGAUUGGUGCCUUUCGGGAACUCUGAGACAGGUGCUGCAUGGCUGUCGUCAGCUCGUGUUGUGAAAUGUUGGGUUAAGUCCCGCAACGAGCGCAACCCUUAUCCUUUGUUGCCAGCGGUUAGGCCGGGAACUCAAAGGAGACUGCCAGUGAUAAACUGGAGGAAGGUGGGAUGACGUCAAGUCAUCAUGGCCCUUACGAGUAGGGCUACACACGUGCUACAAUGGCGCAUACAAAGAGAAGCGACCUCGCGAGAGCAAGCGGACCUCAUAAAGUGCGUCGUAGUCCGGAUUGGAGUCUGCAACUCGACUCCAUGAAGUCGGAAUCGCUAGUAAUCGUGGAUCAGAAUGCCACGGUGAAUACGUUCCCGGGCCUUGUACACACCGCCCGUCACACCAUGGGAGUGGGUUGCAAAAGAAGUAGGUAGCUUAACCUUCGGGAGGGCGCUUACCACUUUGUGAUUCAUGACUGGGGUGAAGUCGUAACAAGGUAAGCGUAGUGCU